GGUCCAAUUUUUUAUUAUUUUUUUCAACCAAAGGUAACCAAUCCAAGACAUGUAGUCUGCUUGGGCUAACAGAGACACCCUGAUAUUUAAUAGGGAAGAUGCCAAUUUGACAGUUGAAAAUUUCAGCAUAGACAUUAGCCCAAUUAUCAUUAUCAUUUAUAACCAGCACUUCACUCUUGUAAAAGUUAAUUUUGAGACCCACCAUCAAUUCAUACAUAUAUAGAAGCAACUUCAUGUUUCUAGCUCCCUCAAGAUUGUGCUCAAGACAAAUUAUGGUAUCAUCAGCAUAUUGUAGUACAGCAACA
rnacentral:lncRNA from 1 species